UCGAAUAAACUUGUGUGGGUUGUGCUGACCCCCUCGGGGGUAUGUGCACGCCGACCAUUGUUUCAUUCAUCCCUUCCCCCUGUGCACUUUCUGUAGACCCAUGCUGUCGCCUUUCAGGUGCCACACCGUGGCCCUUGGUGUGAGGACGUGCUCUUGCUGUCCUUGGAUGGUGUGUGGCCUAUGUCUUUAUCAACUCCAUAGUAUGUCAUUGAAUGUUUGUUGGGUUCUCUAUGCAGACCCAUAAAUAUCCAUA
rnacentral:misc_RNA from 1 species